rnacentral:rRNA from 1 species
UUGCAGAAUGAACCGGCGAGUUAAUGUUGCAUGCGAGGUUAAGUAGAAGAUACGGAGCCGAAGCGAAAGCGAGUCUUAAUAGGGCGAAAUAGUAUGCAGUAUUAGACCCGAAACCGAGUGAUCUAGCCAUGAGCAGGUUGAAGUUUGGGUAAAACCAAAUGGAGGACCGAACCGACGUACCCGGAAACGUGCGCGGAUGACUUGUGGCUAGCGGUGAAAUUCCAAUCGAACUCGGAUAUAGCUGGUUCUCCCCGAAAUAGGUUUAGGCCUAGCCUUGAGAUUGAGCACUGUGGAGGUAGAGCACUGAAUAUACAAUGGCCCCAUCUAGGGGUACUGAGUGUAAUCAAACUCCGAAUGCCAUAGAAAGCAUACUCAAGAGUCAGCGUAUGGGUGAUAACGUCCAUGCGCGAAAGGAAAAGAGUCCAGAUCGCCAAUUAAGGUCCCAAAAUUUGUACUAAGUGGGAAAGGAUGUGGAGUUGUCAAAACAGCUAGGAGGUUGGCUUAGAAGCAGCCAUCCUUUAAAGAGUGCGUAAUAGCUCACUAGUCGAGUGACACUGCGCCGAAGAUGUACCGGGGCUAAGUACAAUACCGAAAUUGCGGAUUUACACAUAAGUGUAAGUGGUAGGGGAGCGUUCCAAGGGCGUUGAAGGUUGACUGUGAGGACAGCUGGAGCGCUUGGAAGUGAGAAUGCCGGUGUGAGUAGCGCAAGAUGGGUGAGAAUCCCAUCCACCGUUUGCCUAAGGUUUCCUGGGCGAGGUUCGUCCUCCCAGGGUUAGUCGGGUCCUAAGACGAGGCCGAGAGGCGUAGCCGAUGGACAACAGGUUGAUAUUCCUGUACUAUCUAUAAGACUGAUGGAGUGACGGAGAAAGAUAGGAAGAGCCAGUUAAUGGAUUCUGGUCUAAGCACAAAGGUUGAUAAAAAGGGAAAUCCGUUUAUCGUUCAACUGAAGUGUGAUGGUGAAGUACCUAGUACGAAAUCUUCUGACUCUAUGCUUCCAAGAAAAGCUUCUAGGGUUAAUCUUAUAGAUACCCGUACCGAGAACCGACACAGGUGGGCAAGGAGAGUAUCCUAAGGUGAGCGAGAGAACUAUGGUUAAGGAACUCGGCAAAAUAACCCCGUAACUUCGGGAGAAGGGGUGGUCUAGCGAUAGACCCGCAGUAAAGACGUCCAGGCAACUGUUUACCAAAAACACAGGUCUCUGCUAAGUCGUAAGACGAUGUAUAGGGGCUGACACCUGCCCAGUGCUGGAAGGUUAAGAGGAGUGCUUAGAUAGACUAAGGUCGAUGAUUCGAAGGUACGAAUUGAAGCCCCAGUGAACGGCGGCCGUAACUAUAACGGUCCUAAGGUAGCGAAAUUCCUUGUCAGGUAAGUUCUGACCCGCACGAAAGGUGUAAUGAUCUGGACACUGUCUCAACCAUAGACUCGGUGAAAUCUUAAUACCUGUGAAAAUGCAGGUUACCCGCAACAGGACGGAAAGACCCCAUGGAGCUUUACUGUAGCUUGAUAUUGAGGUUCGGUGUAUUAUGUAGAGGAUAGGUGGGAGACUAAGAAGCUAGGACGCCAGUUCUAGUAGAGUCAACCUUGGAAUACCACCCUUAAUACAUUGGACUUCUAACCUAGGACCGUAAUCCGGUUCAGGGACAGUGUCUGGUGGGCAGUUUGACUGGGGCGGUCGCCUCCUAAAGAGUAACGGAGGCGCUCAAAGGUUCCCUCAGAAUGGUUGGAAAUCAUUCUAAGAGCGUAAAGGUAUAAGGGAGCUUGACUGCGAGACCAACAAGUCGAGCAGAUACGAAAGUAGGACUUAGUGAUCAGACGAUGCAGAAUGGAAUGGUCGUCGCUUAACGGAUAAAAGUUACCCUGG